rnacentral:rRNA from 1 species
AUGCAGUCGAACGAUGAUGCCCAGCUUGCUGGGCGGAUUAGUGGCGAACGGGUGAGUAACACGUGAGUAACCUGCCCCUGACUCUGGGAUAAGCGUUGGAAACGACGUCUAAUACUGGAUAUGAUCACCGGCCGCAUGGUCUGGUGGUGGAAAGAUUUUUUGGUUGGGGAUGGACUCGCGGCCUAUCAGCUUGUUGGUGAGGUAAUGGCUCACCAAGGCGACGACGGGUAGCCGGCCUGAGAGGGUGACCGGCCACACUGGGACUGAGACACGGCCCAGACUCCUACGGGAGGCAGCAGUGGGGAAUAUUGCACAAUGGGCGAAAGCCUGAUGCAGCAACGCCGCGUGAGGGAUGACGGCCUUCGGGUUGUAAACCUCUUUUAGUAGGGAAGAAGCGAAAGUGACGGUACCUGCAGAAAAAGCACCGGCUAACUACGUGCCAGCAGCCGCGGUAAUACGUAGGGUGCAAGCGUUGUCCGGAAUUAUUGGGCGUAAAGAGCUCGUAGGCGGUUUGUCGCGUCUGCUGUGAAAUCCCGAGGCUCAACCUCGGGCUUGCAGUGGGUACGGGCAGACUAGAGUGCGGUAGGGGAGAUUGGAAUUCCUGGUGUAGCGGUGGAAUGCGCAGAUAUCAGGAGGAACACCGAUGGCGAAGGCAGAUCUCUGGGCCGUAACUGACGCUGAGGAGCGAAAGCAUGGGGAGCGAACAGGAUUAGAUACCCUGGUAGUCCAUGCCGUAAACGUUGGGCGCUAGAUGUAGGGACCUUUCCACGGUUUCUGUGUCGUAGCUAACGCAUUAAGCGCCCCGCCUGGGGAGUACGGCCGCAAGGCUAAAACUCAAAGGAAUUGACGGGGGCCCGCACAAGCGGCGGAGCAUGCGGAUUAAUUCGAUGCAACGCGAAGAACCUUACCAAGGCUUGACAUACACCGGAAACGGCCAGAGAUGGUCGCCCCCUUGUGGUCGGUGUACAGGUGGUGCAUGGUUGUCGUCAGCUCGUGUCGUGAGAUGUUGGGUUAAGUCCCGCAACGAGCGCAACCCUCGUUCUAUGUUGCCAGCGGGUUAUGCCGGGGACUCAUAGGAGACUGCCGGGGUCAACUCGGAGGAAGGUGGGGAUGACGUCAAAUCAUCAUGCCCCUUAUGUCUUGGGCUUCACGCAUGCUACAAUGGCCGGUACAAAGGGCUGCGAUACCGUAAGGUGGAGCGAAUCCCAAAAAGCCGGUCUCAGUUCGGAUUGAGGUCUGCAACUCGACCUCAUGAAGUCGGAGUCGCUAGUAAUCGCAGAUCAGCAACGCUGCGGUGAAUACGUUCCCGGGCCUUGUACACACCGCCCGUCAAGUCAUGAAAGUCGGUAACACCCGAAGCCGGUGGCCUAACCC